CCUACGGGGGGCAGCAGUGGGGAAUAUUGCACAAUGGGGGAAACCCUGAUGCAGCGACGCCGCGUGAGUGAAGAAGUAAUUCGUUACGUAAAGCUCUAUCAGCAGGGAAGAAACACUGACCUUACGGUCAGCAGACGGUACCUGAGUAAGAAGCCCCGGCUAACUCCGUGCCAGCAGCCGCGGUAAUACGGAGGAUGCGAGCGUUAUCCGGAUUUAUUGGGGGUAAGGGGUGCGUAGGGGGACUGUUAGGGCAGCGGGAAAAGCCCGGGGCUCAACCCCGGCGAGCCGUUGAAACUGGCUGUCUUGAGAUGUCGAGAGGUAUGCGGAAUGCGCAGUGUAGCGGUGAAAUGCUUAGAUAUUGCGCAGAACUCCGAUUGCGAAGGCAGCAUACCGGCGGCGAUCUGACGCUGAGGCACGAAAGCGUGGGUAUCGAACAGGAUUAGAUACCCGAGUAGUC
rnacentral:rRNA from 1 species